rnacentral:lncRNA from 1 species
ACAGGGCUUAAAUCUACAACUACAGAGGGAGAGGUCGCCGGAGGAACAAAUGUAGUAUAGCGCAUAUAGUCAAUAUAGGCUCAAAAAGUAUCUGCCAUACUCACCGAAGUUGUGCGUUGUGGAAAUCGCAUAAGCAAUUUUUCCUUAAAAUGCUUCCAAUCGAAGAAUUGCUUGUUAUGAUGCAACCACGUAAACCAAAUAAGAGCUUCACCAUCAAGGUAGAAAUAAGGAAGAGGUAGCCAGUCCUUUUGGGAGAAGCCAAGGCAGGUGAAA